rnacentral:rRNA from 1 species
GAUGAACGCUGGCGGCGUGCCUAAUACAUGCAAGUCGAGCGAACGUACGAGAAUCUUGCUUCUCUGAUGUUAGCGGCGGACGGGUGAGUAACAUGUGGAUAACCUACCUAUAAGACUGGGAUAACUUCGGGAAACCGUAGCUAAUACCGUAUAAUAUUUUGAACCGCAUGGUUCAAAAGUGAAAGACGGUCUUGCUGUCACUUAUAGAUGGAUCCGCGCUGCAUUAGCUAGUUGGUAAGGUAACGGCUUACCAAGGCAACGAUGCAUAGCCGACCUGAGAGGGUGAUCGGCCACACUGGAACUGAGACACGGUCCAGACUCCUACGGGAGGCAGCAGUAGGGAAUCUUCCGCAAUGGGCGAAAGCCUGACGGAGCAACGCCGCGUGAGUGAUGAAGGUCUUCGGAUCGUAAAACUCUGUUAUUAGGGAAGAACAUAUGUGUAAGUAACUGUGCACAUCUUGACGGUACCUAAUCAGAAAGCCACGGCUAACUACGUG